AACGUAGGUGGCGAGCGUUAUCCGGAUUUACUGGGCGUAAAGAGCUUGUAGGUGGUUUUGUAAGUUGGAUGUGAAAUCUCCGGGCUUAACUUGGAGAGGCCAUUCAAUACUGCAAGACUAGAGGAUGUUUGAGGGAAGUGGAAUUUCUGGUGUAGUAGUGAAAUGCGUAGAUAUCAGAAGGAACACCCGUGGCGAAGGCGGCUUCCUAGGACAUACCUGACACUGAGAAGCGACAGCUAGGGGAGCAAACAGG
rnacentral:rRNA from 1 species